rnacentral:tRNA from 15 species
CGGAGUAUAGCGCAGCCUGGUAGCGCACCUGCUUCGGGAGCAGGGGGUCGCGUGUUCGAAUCACGCUACUCCGACCA